UCGAACUCCUGUCCUCAAGUGAUCUGCCCGCC
rnacentral:piRNA from 1 species